GAUGAAGAACGCAGCGAAAUGCGAUAACUAAUGUGAAUUGCAGAAUUCCGUGAAUCAUCGAGUCUUUGAACGCACAUUGCGCCCCCUGGUAUUCCGGGGGGCAUGCCUGUCCGAGCGUCAUUACAACCCUCAAGCUCAGCUUGGUAUUGGGCCCCGCCGCUCCGGCGGGCCCUAAAGUCAGUGGCGGUGCCGUCCGGCUCCGAGCGUAGUAAUUCUUCUCGCUCUGGAGGUCCGGUCGUGUGCUCGCCAGCAACCCCCAAUUUUUUUCAGGUUGACCUCGGAUCAGGUAGGGAUACCCGCUGAACUUAAGCAUAUCAAUAAGCGGAGGA
rnacentral:misc_RNA from 1 species